rnacentral:miRNA from 14 species
UCCUCCUCUUCCUCCUCCUCUUCCUCCUCCAAAUCGGGUACCACCAUCACCCGGGCCUCUUCUUCAGCUUCCUCCUCUUCAUCUGCUAAGUAGUUCUGGUUCACUUCAUCCUGAUCGUCCUGGAAUGGUGACAAAACACAGUCCCCUUUUU